UACGAAGGGUGCAAGCGUUAAUCGGAAUUACUGGGCGUAAAGGGUGCGUAGGCGGUUGUUUAAGUCUGUCGUGAAAUCCCCGGGCUCAACCUGGGAAUGGCGAUGGAUACUGGGCAGCUAGAGUGUGUCAGAGGAUGGUGGAAUUCCCGGUGUAGCGGUGAAUUGCGUAGAGAUCGGGAGGAACAUCAGUGGCGAAGGCGGCCAUCUGGGACAACACUGACGCUGAAGCACGAAAGCGUGGGGAGCAAACAGG
rnacentral:rRNA from 1 species